CUGAGAAAGUGAAUUUGGAAAACAAGUGUAUUUUCGGAAAAAUUAUUAUAUGUCCUGAAAAUUUUUUGUACAUCUGGAAACUUUUUGGUAACCCCCCCCCCCCCCUCUAUCUAACCACACACACACCCUGCGACGAAGUGCUCGCAACGGCACUGAGUAUAUAUCUUUUGAAAACAGGCGAGGGGUUAUUGCAUGCAUGUAUUUCUAGUUUAAGCAGUAA